rnacentral:rRNA from 1 species
UACGGAGGGUGCGAGCGUUGUUCGGAAUCACUGGGCGUAAAGGGCGUGUAGGCGGUCUGUUAAGUCUGAUGUGAAAGCCCGGGGCUCACCCCCGGAAGUGCAUUGGAUACUGGCGGACUCGAGUCUCGGAGAGGAGGGUGGAAUUCCUGGUGUAGCGGUGAAAUGCGUAGAUAUCAGGAGGAACACCGGUGGCGAAGGCGGCCCUCUGGGCGAUGACUGACGCUGAGACGCGAAAGCGUGGGGAGCAAACAGG